GUGGGUAUAGUGUAAUGGCAACACAAUGGUCUCCAAAACCAUUAAUCAAAGUUCGAACCUUUGUACCUGUGCCA
rnacentral:tRNA from 1 species